rnacentral:lncRNA from 1 species
UUAUUAUUAUCUCCUUUAAAAUCUAGUUUCCUUGCCCGAGGCCCGGCUAGCUUUCUUGAGAGCCUUUCAGACAGGACUUGAUCUCAGUGGGGGAAGUACAGGAGGCCAAGCCAACCACCAGGAGGCUGAUGAAGAUGGAAUGAUCUGAGUCCAAGGGCUUGUGCUUCAGCUUCCAGCCUCCACAAAGGUGAAUGAUGCAAUGAACCUUUUCUGAAUGAAUCUGGCUCUGAGUCCCCAGGCUUGUAUGUUCUACACUGAGUGUAAACCAGUCAUUAUAUCACUAGGAAACCAUUAUUUAUUGUAAGAUUAAUUCAAUCAUACUGAACUUAGAGAACUAUUAAUCACCAUGCUAAACUAGAUAACCAUUGUCUCAUCAAUUCCACUGAGUUAGCACCUUGUAAGAAUCCUUGUUUUAAGUACAGGGUUCUGGCCCAUAACAUUCCUUUACAUAGAAGAACAAGAGAUAUUUGGAAGUAAAAAUGGCAUAAUUAAACACCAGAACUAUUUUAUGGUUAAUGGAACAUGUUCAUUGACUGAUGUGCAGAGAGGUAAAUUUAUGAAGCAUAUUGAUUAGUUACUAUAAGCUAUGGCAAAAUCUCUGAUCUAGGGCAUUUAUCCCUAGAGUACUUAAAAAAGAAAGAAAAAAAGCUAAGUCUGAAGAUUCAAGUAUUGUCAUCGUUCAAAACAAUUCAAAACACCUCCUUGGACUUAGAAUAAGAAGGGAGCCCUUGGAACUGGACUCUGAUGAAGGAAAAUCUGGCAGUCAUCUGUUGGUCCUCGGCUUAGGGUUUCUUUUCUAAAAGAGUAGUGUACCUGCCUUAGCUGAAGAUUUCACAGAAGUAGUCAUUGGAAGCAUGAAAGAUCUUAUUGAUGGGAGCUUCAUAUCUGCUUGUGACCAGACAGCACGAGAAGCAUGAAGAACUCUCUUUUCAGAGACAACGCAAUGUAGAGAAGCAGGCCCUCCAUGGGAAGAGAUCUCUCCUGAAAGGGAGGGAGUGAGAGGCUCCAUCCAGGAAUCCAUCCUAUGGUCUGUGACUCAGUGGAGAAAGGAGCCAUAACACUGGAAAAGAAGAGCAAACUUGGGACAGU